rnacentral:rRNA from 1 species
UUGAACGCUGGCGGCAUGCUUUACCCAUGCAAGUCGAACGGUAACAGGGAGCUUGCUCCGCUGACGAGUGGCGAACGGGUGAGUAAUAUAUCGGAACGUACCCAAGAGUGGGGGAUAACGUAGCGAAAGUUACGCUAAUACCGCAUACGAUCUAUGGAUGAAAGCAGGGGACCUUCGGGCCUUGUGCUCCUGGAGCGGCCGAUAUCUGAUUAGCUAGUUGGUGAGGUAAAGGCUCACCAAGGCGACGAUCAGUAGCUGGUCUGAGAGGACGACCAGCCACACUGGAACUGAGACACGGUCCAGACUCCUACGGGAGGCAGCAGUGGGGAAUUUUGGACAAUGGGCGCAAGCCUGAUCCAGCAAUGCCGCGUGAGUGAAGAAGGCCUUCGGGUUGUAAAGCUCUUUUGUCAGGGAAGAAACGGCUGUGGCUAAUAUCCACGGCUAAUGACGGUACCUGAAGAAUAAGCACCGGCUAACUACGUG